rnacentral:rRNA from 1 species
UCCCGACGACCCGAGUAGCAUUCGACAUUAUUGGGUCUAAAACAUCCGUAGCUGGUUUCGAAAGUUUUGUGUUAAAUCAUUGGACUUAAUUCAAUGGCUGCGCAAAAUACUUCGAGGCUGGAGACUGGGAGAUGUAACAAGUACGUUCGAGGUAAUGGUAAAAUAUUCUAAUCUCGUGCGGACUAACAAUCGGCGAAGGCAUGUUACAAGAACAGUUCUGACGGUGAGGGAUGAAGGCCAGGGGCGCAAAACGGAUUAGAUACCCGUGUAGUCCUGGCUGUAAACUCUGUAGAUUAAAUAUUGUGACCUCCUAGAGAGGUUGCAGUAUUGAAGUGAAGACGCAAAUCUACUACCUGGGGAGUACAGUCGCAAGACCGAA